UCACAGAGAUGGCAAAAUACACACCCUGACACACACAUACAGCACACACAAUGAAAUACACAAACAACUACCCCUCCAGCCCCAAACACAAACAUCAUGUGACAAGGACCAGCUAACCACACCCCCGCACACUCGGCCCCUCCAGCCUGGCAUACUGGGCCAGCAACACAUACCUCUCCCCUCCUGCCAUCCUGCCGGCUCCCGGGGCUCCCAGCAUCACGGUGGUGGAGGCAGCAUCCCGCCAACCCGUGCCUGCUACCCUGCUGCCUCUCACCACAGCCCCUGCCCUGCUGAUUUGGGUCCCUCAGUCCCCUCAGUCAGCCCUCCCUGAAGCUCCCCUCUUCCCCACCCGGCUCUCUUUCGGCUGCCUGGCGGUAGGAGGAGGGAGGAUGGGUGUGGAGGGGACUCGCCGCGGUCGGUGGUGGCGUCAGCAGCUGCCGCCGCCCGAUUGGCCUCCCAGCCUUAGCUCCCAACCACAGGAAUGCCUGGGCCCCACCCUCAGGCUGGCUGGAGAUGGCGGGGUAGUGGAAGCUCCCAGAUGUUGACAUCUGGGGCUGGCAGCCCACUUGGGCUCUGAGUCUGGCAGAGUUCAAGACUGCUGCCCUUGCCACCCCUUGGAUCUGAGAGCUGGACUGAGCCCGAGUACCCCAGGGUCAUGUCCUGCUACUCUCUCAUAAGUGGCCUCGCCUCAAGUCUGGCAUACAGGCAAGCGCUUUAAGACUUGGGCACAGAAUCCAGAUGUGUGCAGCCUUUGUGUGACGAGACCGAGGUGCGAGUGGGAUCUUGCUCUGGGCUCCCCAGGCGUUGUGGUACACUGGCCUGGAGAGUGAACCAUGGUGACACAGAAACAGAGAGAGGACCUGUCAGCCUGGGCCUGCAAUGCUGUGUGUCUUCUAUGGAGCUGAGUCAUACAGUGCUACGCAAGGGGGCCCAGAGGACCGUGCUGGGCCCAGGCCCUCCAUGCAGACUGAGGGACUCACCAGCUGGAGGAUGUCCUCAUCCUUGGGCAUGAUGGAGAGCUCCAGGGUGUCAUC